rnacentral:rRNA from 1 species
GAUGAACGCUGGCGGCGUGCCUAAUACAUGCAAGUCGAGCGAACGGACGAGAAGCUUGCUUCUCUGAUGUUAGCGGCGGACGGGUGAGUAACACGUGGAUAACCUACCUAUAAGACUGGGAUAACUUCGGGAAACCGGAGCUAAUACCGGAUGAUAUUUUGAACCGCAUGGUUCAAAAGUGAAAGACGGUCUUGCUGUCACUUAUAGAUGGAUCCGCGCUGCAUUAGCUAGUUGGUAAGGUAACGGCUUACCAAGGCAACGAUGCAUAGCCGACCUGAGAGGGUGAUCGGCCGCACGGGAAGUUGUACACGGUCCAGACUCCUACGGGAGGCAGCAGUAGGGAAUCUUGCGCAGUGGACGAAAGCCUGACGGAGCAACGCCGCGUGAGUGAGGGAGGUCUUCGGAUCGUAAAACUCUGUUAUUAGGGAAGAACAUAUGUGUAAGUAACUGUGCACAUCUUGACGGUGCCUAAUCAGAAAGCCACGGCUAACUACGUG